CCAAGGGUACAGUAGUGGCAAGCAUAUGUUUCUGGCAACCAAAAGCUCUCUAACUAGAAUUAAGACCUGUUGAGCAAGAGGGCAACCACUCCUGGAGAUGGAAACCAUUACAGAAAACCAUCACCAAUUAAAAUGCAAUUUUGAUUGCAUUUGAUUGCAGGGUUCAGGAUUCAUAGUUCUGAAAGGCACCAUGCUUGCUGUUGGGGGAGAACUGUCACCAACAGUCAUAUUUGUCUAUGGAACUGACACACUAUAGUAUCAAUAUGGGGGAAAUUAACAUCUAAAAUGAUGAAAUGGGAAAAAUCUGCGACUGACAGAAGCCCAGGAGGAAAAUACACAGACAUCUACAUCACUGCCUACCAGGCUCAGAGAACAUUUCAGAAGAGGGAGCAGAAAAAAAGUGUAAGAGCCAGAGGAUGGUUGGGAUGUUGCUCAACUUGACAGUUCCCCUGAAUUGAAACAUUCUCUUCUAAAAGAAGAAAGCUCGUACAACUCAGGAAGGAACUGAAACACGUGACCCAGGACACUCCUGAAACAUUCCGAGGCCCUUUGCCAAAGUUUUAAAAUAAAAUUGUAGGGGCAAUGAGAAUCCUUUAGAUAGAGUUGGCUGUAUAUAUGGUUGGGAGAUCUAGGGAAUGCAUAUUGUUGAGUUGUUAUCUUUGCUGUGGUAUGGGAUUUUUGGUGAUGAAGCUGUUUUUGAAUUACUUAUUCUUCUGUAUGUAAUUACUCACCCAUACCAUUGUAAAAAAAUCUCUAUUAAAGUCACUGAUUAAUAAAAUUAAAAUUGAGUGAUGAUGAUGAUGAUGAUGAUGAUGAUGAUGAUGAUGUG
rnacentral:lncRNA from 1 species